UACGUAGGGUGCGAGCGUUGUCCGGAAUUAUUGGGCGUAAAGAGCUCGUAGGCGGUUUGUUGCGUCGGCCGUGAAAACCUGCAGCUUAACUGUGGGCCUGCGGUCGAUACGGGCAGACUUGAGUUCGGUAGGGGAGAAUGGAAUUCCCGGUGUAGCGGUGAAAUGCGCAGAUAUCGGGAGGAACACCGGUGGCGAAGGCGGUUCUCUGGGCCUGACCUGACGCUGAGGAGCGAAAGCGUGGGGAGCGAACAGG
rnacentral:rRNA from 1 species